rnacentral:rRNA from 1 species
AGAGUUUGAUCAUGGCUCAGGAUGAACGCUAGCUACAGGCUUAACACAUGCAAGUCGAGGGGAAACGACAUCGAAAGCUUGCUUUUGAUGGGCGUCGACCGGCGCACGGGUGAGUAACGCGUAUCCAACCUGCCCACCACUUGGGGAUAACCUUGCGAAAGUAAGACUAAUACCCAAUGAUAUCUCUAGAAGACAUCUGAAAGAGAUUAAAGAUUUAUCGGUGAUGGAUGGGGAUGCGUCUGAUUAGCUUGUUGGCGGGGUAACGGCCCACCAAGGCAACGAUCAGUAGGGGUUCUGAGAGGAAGGUCCCCCACAUUGGAACUGAGACACGGUCCAAACUCCUACGGGAGGCAGCAGUGAGGAAUAUUGGUCAAUGGGCGAGAGCCUGAACCAGCCAAGUAGCGUGCAGGAAGACGGCCCUAUGGGUUGUAAACUGCUUUUAUAAGGGAAUAAAGUGAGUCUCGUGAGACUUUUUGCAUGUACCUUAUGAAUAAGGACCGGCUAAUUCCGUGCCAGCAGCCGCGGUAAUACGGAAGGUCCGGGCGUUAUCCGGAUUUAUUGGGUUUAAAGGGAGCGUAGGCCGGAGAUUAAGCGUGUUGUGAAAUGUAGACGCUCAACGUCUGCACUGCAGCGCGAACUGGUUUCCUUGAGUACGCACAAAGUGGGCGGAAUUCGUGGUGUAGCGGUGAAAUGCUUAGAUAUCACGAGGAACUCCGAUUGCGAAGGCAGCUCACUGGAGCGCAACUGACGCUGAAGCUCGAAAGUGCGGGUAUCGAACAGGAUUAGAUACCCUGGUAGUCCGCACGGUAAACGAUGGAUGCCCGCUGUUGGUCUGAACAGGUCAGCGGCCAAGCGAAAGCAUUAAGCAUCCCACCUGGGGAGUACGCCGGCAACGGUGAAACUCAAAGGAAUUGACGGGGGCCCGCACAAGUAGCGGAGCAUGUGGUUUAAUUCGAAGCAACGCGAAGAACCUUACCUAAGCUUGACAUCCUUUUGACCGAUGCCUAAUCGCAUCUUUCCCUUCGGGGACAGAAGUGACAGGUGGUGCAUGGUUGUCGUCAGCUCGUGUCGUGAGAUGUUGGGUUAAGUCCCGCAACGAGCGCAACCCUUGCCUUUAGUUGCCAGCAUUAAGUUGGGCACUCUAGAGGGACUGCCAGGGAUAACCUGGAGGAAGGUGGGGAUGACGUCAAAUCAUCAUGCCCCUUAUGCUUAGGGCUACACACGUGCUACAAUGGGUGGUACAGAGGGCAGCCAAGUCGUGAGGCGGAGCUAAUCCCUUAAAGCCAUUCUCAGUUCGGAUUGUAGGCUGAAACUCGCCUACAUGAAGCUGGAGUUACUAGUAAUCGCAGAUCAGAAUGCUGCGGUGAAUGCGUUCCCGGGUCUUGUACACACCGCCCGUCACACCACGGGAGUUGGGGGCGCCCGAAGCCGGAUUGCUAACCUUUUGGAAGCGUCCGUCGAAGGUGAAAUCAAUAACUGGGGUGAAGUCGUAACAAGGUA